rnacentral:lncRNA from 1 species
AUGUUAAAGACCCAUACCCUCAGCCAGAGGCUCACAGGAUCAGCUUUUGACAAUAUCAUUUUUAGGACGUGCGUAACAAUUCAUCAGGUAUUCAGUUUCAAGGAUCUCACUCAGAGCUGGCCCUCUGUGAAUGUUGCUGAUAGGUGCCUGACUGCACAGAGCUGAUGGUGACAAAGGUAAACACCACAUUAAACACACACACACACACACACACACGGAGAGAUCAGACUUUUACUGGAGCCAAAUCUUCCCUAUGGUGGAAUAUACCUGCUGUAUUUCCAUUGAAAAUGCAACAUGUUGGUUGGUGUGAAAACUGAUGUCAGGAAAUGCCCCCAAGAGAACAAAGCAUGUAUUAGGUGAUAAUGGAUGUUAUUACUGGAAGCAACAUUUGUCUCCUCGUUUUUUUUUUUUUUUUUUUUUUCCUUCCUGACUCUCAUUCAACCAUAGUAAAUUUUAAUAUGUGUGUCAGGUUUCCCGCAAUUUAUAUAAAAUGAAACUCUUUGGAAAAGAAAACAC